AUUGUCGUGAACUGAUGAAAGCUGCGUCUCAGAUGGAUGUUAGUCCAACACAUCAGACACGACCUCUGCGGCUCUCAGUUGAUGUGCACAUGCAUGAUUUGUGUUUCCUCUGCAGGUGAAGGUAGAAAGUGUGUGUGAGCUGAAUUGAGCAGCAUGGAUCAGUGUGAGGACAGAGAGGAGGGAGUCCCUCCCUCUAAAAGCACUCUGUGUGGGGAACAUGAGAGCCAGACCAGAGCAAGGAGGAACCCACCUGGACCUCCACCCAGCUCUGUGUCCUUACACAGUGACGCGUCUAAAGGUGAACCCAUUAACUUUAAAUCCCAGCCUGUGUCUGCUGCAGAGAGACUGACUGAAGUCCACAAGAAGAUGAUGAUGGAGGAAGAGGAGGACAGAGCAGAGUCUGCAGGAUCCAGCUGUCCGUCUGUGAGGAGUGACCGGUCCAAAGGUCGUCCUCCAGACUUCAGUGCUGAACCUGGACCAACGAGAGGUCAGAGGUCACAGUCUGCAGGGUCCAGCUGUCCGUCUGUGAGGAGUGAUGAGUCCAAACAUGAACCUCCAGACUUCAGUGGUGAACCUGGACCAACGAGGUCAGAGAGCUGUGAUGACUCCUUUACAUGUUUGUGUUUCCUGGAUAAAUCUGACCUGAAACAUCCUCAGAUUGUUACAAAGAUUCAUUAAAAAGAAAACAAUGAAAGAGAAAAGAUCCAAAUGUUAGACUUGGUCAUUUGCUGUUUGAGGACAGUGAUGCUCAUAUCUGUGGGGAAAGUGUGACCUGAGUGGGUUCAUGUUUGUCUUUAAAGAGCUGCUCUGAUUCUCUUUGUGUCUGAUCUGUUAAACAGUCUGAGAGGUCACACAGAGACCCAGCAGCUAAAGCCUGGAUCAUACUGGCUGCUGUUACUCCAUCAGGACAACACUGAACCACAGUGGUGUGAAUGUAGUGGAUAAAUCCCACCAUACUGAUGCUCAGAGUUAAUCACAGGGAACAAACCAGAUGUUAAAUUCAGAUUGUGACCUUUGGAGUGGAUGAUGCAGAUUUCAAUAGAGAAUAAAUGUUGUUGUUUUUCAGCUGUGAAAAAAGAAUCUAAUUUUCUGAACUUAAGAAUUUAUGAUGCUGGAAAAAACAUGGAGACUAUAACACAACAUUUCACUGUAUUCAUAGAAUUAAUGUAAAACUGUCAGACAUCAGAGGGUCAGAUGUGAAGCACUCAGUGAUUUUGAUCAAAUGACUCAUCAGUUAUUGAUCUGUACUACACUGAUCUACCACGUUAGUAAAGCUGGUGUUCUGGUGGUGGAGGGAGACCUCGGAUCAUGUUCUGGUUUUGGAGCAGUGAUCUGCUGAUGGUUCAGUUUAAUGAAGUCUCAUAGUUUCUUGUGAGCUUCUUCAAAGUCAUCCCUGACAUCACCACUGAAAGGACGUCCAUGAAAACAGACUGAAAAUUACUGAUAUGUUCACAAUCCGAGAGUUUAAAACUUGACAAACUUGAUUCAGAUGAAGUUAUUUGAGCAGAAACUACUGGAUCUUUAUCCUGUGUUAAACUAAUUCUUCAUGGUUCUUCCACAGAGUGGACCAGCAGAGCUCAGAGGUUCCCAGUGGUCAGUCUGCCCAGCAGCAUCAAACACAGCUGGACUCCAUAUUUAUGGUCUGUACAUGUACAACAACUACUGUUACAUCUGUUCUGUUCACAGUCAUCUCCAUGCUGCUCUUUGUAGACCAGUGGAUUGUCAGUGUGUCCAACAUGGAUCUGAUGUUUGGCUCCAUGAUUUCAGUCUGAUUGGCUCAUUCAUAAAGUAUUCUGUUCCAGCUGCUGGAGGACAACAUCAUCACUUUUGUGAAGAACGAGCUGAAGAAGAUCCAGAAGGUUCUGAGUCCAGAUUACCCAGAAUGCUUAGAGAGUCAGAGGGAGGAUGAUGAGCAGAGGAGGACCAGCAGAGAGUCAUUUGUAAAGAUCA
ensembl:lncRNA